CCCUCGGUAGAACAGUGGUAAGUAUCCCCGCCUGUCACGCGGAAGACCGGGGUCCGAUUCUCCGCCGGGGAG
rfam:Octopus bimaculoides Scaffold62592_contig_158, whole genome shotgun sequence.